AGAGUUUGAUCAUGGCUCAGGACGAACGCUGACGGUGUGCUUUAACAUGCAAGUCGAACGAGAAAGCCCUUCGGGGUUAGUAAAGUGGCGAACGGGUGCGUAACACGUGGGUAAUCUACCCCUCGCAGAGGGACAACCGGGGGAAACCCCGGCUAAUACCUCGUACGCUUGCCGGGCCGCAUGGUCCGGUAAGGAAAGGUAGCUUCGGCCAUCCGGCGAGGGAUGAGCCCGCGGUACAUUAGCUAGUUGGUGAGGUAACGGCUCACCAAGGCUACGAUGUAUAGCUGGUCUGAGAGGAUGAUCAGCCACACUGGGACUGAGACACGGCCCAGACUCCUACGGGAGGCAGCAGUCGGGAAUCUUGCACAAUGGGCGAAAGCCUGAUGCAGCAACACCGCGUGAGCGAGGAAGGCCUUCGGGUCGUAAAGCUCUGUUGUUGGGGACGAAGGGCGAAGGGUUAAUAGCCCCUAGCCUGACGGUACCCUUCGAGGAAGCCCCGGCUAACUACGUGCCAGCAGCCGCGGUAAUACGUAGGGGGCGAGCGUUGUCCGGAAUUAUUGGGCGUAAAGAGCGUGUAGGCGGCCUGGUAAGUCUGCCGUGAAACCUUGGGGCUCAACCCCAAGCGUGCGGUG
rnacentral:rRNA from 1 species